rnacentral:rRNA from 1 species
CCUACGGGAGGCUGCCGUGAGGAAUAUUGGUCAAUGGGCGCGAGCCUGACCAGCCAAGUAGCGUGAAGGAUGACUGCCCUACGGGUUGUAAACUUCUUUUAUAAAGGAAUAAAGUGAGGCACGUGUGCCUUUUUGUAUGUAAUUUAUGAAUAAGGAUCGGCUAAAUCCGUGCCAGCCGCCGCGGUAAUACGGAGGAUCCGAGUGUUAUCCGGAUUUAUUGGGUUUAAAGGGAGCGUAGAUGGGUUGUUAAGUCAGUUGUGAAAGUUUGCGGGUCAAACAUAAAAUUGCAAUUUAUACUGGCAGUCUUGAGUACAGUUGAGGUAGGCGGAAUUCGUGGUGUAGCGGUGAAAUGCUUAGAUAUCACGAAGAACUCCGAUUGCGAAGGCAGCUUACUAAACUGCCACUGACAUUGAUGCUCGAAAGUGUGGGUAUCAAACAGGAUUAGAUACCCGAGUAUC